CUCGGUUCUUUGUGCGGCGUGGAACUACUUCUUCCCAUUCCGAACAGAACCGUAAAACGCGCCAGCGCCGACAAUAGCUGGGCCGCGAGGCUCCGUGAAGAUAGGUCAGAGCCGAGA
rnacentral:rRNA from 1 species